AUUGAACGCUGGCGGCAUGCUUUACACAUGCAAGUCGAACGGUAACAGGCCGCAAGGUGCUGACGAGUGGCGAACGGGUGAGUAAUGCAUCGGAACGUGCCCAGUCGUGGGGGAUAACUACUCGAAAGAGUAGCUAAUACCGCAUACGAUCUAUGGAUGAAAGCGGGGGACCGUAAGGCCUCGCGCGAUUGGAGCGGCCGAUGUCAGAUUAGGUAGUUGGUGGGGUAAAGGCUCACCAAGCCAACGAUCUGUAGCCGGUCUGAGAGGACGACCAGCCACACUGGGACUGAGACACGGCCCAGACUCCUACGGGAGGCAGCAGUGGGGAAUUUUGGACAGUGGCGCAAGCCUGAUCCAGCAAUGCCGCGUGCAGGAAGAAGGCCUUCGGGUUGUAAACUGCUUUUGUACGGAACGAAACGGCUCUGGUUAAUACCCGGGGCUAAUGACGGUACCGUAAGAAUAAGCACCGGCUAACUACGUG
rnacentral:rRNA from 1 species